GAUGAACGCUGGCGGCGUGCUUAACACAUGCAAGUCGAACGGAAAGGCCCAAGCUUGCUUGGGUACUCGAGUGGCGAACGGGUGAGUAACACGUGGGUGAUCUGCCCUGCACUUCGGGAUAAGCCUGGGAAACUGGGUCUAAUACCGGAUAGGACGAUGGUUUGGAUGCCAUUGUGGAAAGUUUUUUCGGUGUGGGAUGAGCUCGCGGCCUAUCAGCUUGUUGGUGGGGUAAUGGCCUACCAAGGCGUCGACGGGUAGCCGGCCUGAGAGGGUGUACGGCCACAUUGGGAGUGAGAUACGGCCCAGACUCCUACGGGAGGCAGCAGUGGGGAAUAUGGCACAAUGGGCGCAAGCCUGAGGCAGCGACGCCGCGUGGGGGAUGACGGCCUUCGGGUUGUAAACUCCCUUCGCUAGGGACGAAGCGUUUUUGUGACGGUACCUGGAGAAGAAGCACCGGCUAACUACGUG
rnacentral:rRNA from 1 species